rnacentral:rRNA from 1 species
AGAGUUUGAUCCUGGCUCAGGAUGAACGCUGGCGGCGUGCUUAACACAUGCAAGUCGAACGAUGAUCCCAGCUUGCUGGGGGAUUAGUGGCGAACGGGUGAGUAACACGUGAGUAACCUGCCCUUGACUCUGGGAUAAGCCUGGGAAACUGGGUCUAAUACCGGAUACGACCAUCUGGCGCAUGUCAUGGUGGUGGAAAGCUUUUGUGGUUUUGGAUGGACUCGCGGCCUAUCAGCUUGUUGGUGGGGUAAUGGCCUACCAAGGCGACGACGGGUAGCCGGCCUGAGAGGGUGACCGGCCACACUGGGACUGAGACACGGCCCAGACUCCUACGGGAGGCAGCAGUGGGGAAUAUUGCACAAUGGGCGCAAGCCUGAUGCAGCGACGCCGCGUGAGGGAUGACGGCCUUCGGGUUGUAAACCUCUUUCAGUAGGGAAGAAGCCGUAAGGUGACGGUACCUGCAGAAGAAGCGCCGGCUAACUACGCG